UGUCUCGAUGGACAAGGUCAAGGCUGUGGC
rnacentral:piRNA from 1 species